CCUACGGGUGAGCAGCAGUGGGGAAUAUUGGACAAUGGGCGAAAGCCUGAUCCAGCCAUGCCGCGUGUGUGAAGAAGGCCUUCGGGUUGUAAAGCACUUUCAGUGGGGAAGAAAGCCUUGGGGCUAAUACCCUCGAGGAAGGACAUCACCCACAGAAGAAGCACCGGCUAACUCCGUGCCAGCAGCCGCGGUAAUACGGAGGGUGCGAGCGUUAAUCGGAAUUACUGGGCGUAAAGCGCGCGUAGGCGGUCUGAUAAGCCGGUUGUGAAAGCCCCGGGCUCAACCUGGGAACGGCAUCCGGAACUGUCAGGCUAGAGUGCAGGAGAGGAAGGUAGAAUUCCCGGUGUAGCGGUGAAAUGCGUAGAGAUCGGGAGGAAUACCAGUGGCGAAGGCGGCCUUCUGGACUGACACUGACGCUGAGGUGCGAAAGCGUGGGUAGCAAACAGGAUUAGAUACCCUUGUAGUC
rnacentral:rRNA from 1 species